UACGGAGGGGGCUAGCGUUGUUCGGAAUUACUGGGCGUAAAGCGCACGUAGGCGGAUAUUUAAGUCAGGGGUGAAAUCCCGGGGCUCAACCCCGGAACUGCCUUUGAUACUGGGUAUCUGGAGGUCGAGAGAGGCGAGUGGAAUUCCGAGUGUAGAGGUGAAAUUCGUAGAUAUUCGGAGGAACACCAGUGGCGAAGGCGGCUCGCUGGCUCGAUACUGACACUGAGGUGCGAAAGCGUGGGGAGCAAACAGG
rnacentral:rRNA from 1 species